ACCAGAGACCUGUUUGUCUGAGGACGCAGAGCUGGUUUGCAUUCCCAGGAUGGCCUGGGCCCCGCUCCUCCUUGUGCUGCUCACACACUGCUCAGGUUCCCUUGCCCAGUACGUGCUGACUCAGCCGCCUUCAGUGUCUGUGUCUCCAGGACAAACCGCUCAGCUCACCUGCUCCGGGGACAAUGUUGCUAGCAAGAAUGUGUAUUGGUAUCAGCAUAAAGUCAGCAGCUCCCCUGUACUUGUGAUGUACAAUAGUAGGAGCAGACCCUCCGGCAUCCCUGACCGAUUCUCUGGUGCCAGCUCUGGGAACAUGGCCACGUUGACCAUCACUGGCGUCCAAGCCCAGGACGAGGCGGUUUAUUACUGUGAGGUGUGGGUUACUGCCAGCAGCUCACAUCACAGUGAUACAGUCCGAUGGGGAAGUACAACAUAA